rnacentral:tRNA from 1 species
GCGGAUGUGGCGGAAUUGGUAGACGCGCUAGGUUUAGGUUCUAGUGUCUUCGUGACGUGAAGGUUCAAGUCCUUUCAUCCGCAUCA